AACGAACGCUGGCGGCAUGCCUAACACAUGCAAGUCGAACGAGACCUUCGGGUCUAGUGGCGCACGGGUGCGUAACGCGUGGGAACCUGCCCUUAGGUUCGGAAUAACUCCCCGAAAGGGGUGCUAAUACCGGAUAAUGUCUUCGGACCAAAGAUUUAUCGCCUUUGGAUGGGCCCGCGUUGGAUUAGCUAGUUGGUAGGGUAAAAGCCUACCAAGGCGACGAUCCAUAGCUGGUCUGAGAGGAUGAUCAGCCACACUGGGACUGAGACACGGCCCAGACUCCUACGAGAGGCAGCAGUGGGGAAUAUUGGACAAUGGGCGAAAGCCUGAUCCAGCAAUGCCGCGUGAGUGAUGAAGGCCUUAGGGUUGUAAAGCUCUUUUAACCGGGAUGAUAAUGACAGUACCGGGAGAAUAAGCUCCGGCUAACUCCGUG
rnacentral:rRNA from 1 species